rnacentral:rRNA from 1 species
UACAGAGGGUGCAAGCGUUGUUCGGAAUUAUUGGGCGUAAAGGGCGCGUAGGCGGUGCCACAAGUCACCUGUGAAAUCUCCGGGCUUAACUCGGAGCCUGCAGGCGAAACUGUAGUGCUGGAGUGUGGGAGAGGUGCGUGGAAUUCCCGGUGUAGCGGUGAAAUGCGUAGAUAUCAGGAAGAACACCUAUGGCGAAGGCAGCUCUCUGGGACGGUACUGACGCUGAGACGCGAAAGCGUGGGGAGCGAACAGG